UACGGGAGGGUGCAAGCGUUAUCCGGAUUCACUGGGUUUAAAGGGUGCGUAGGUGGGUUGGUAAGUCAGUGGUGAAAUCUCCAGGCUUAACUUGGAAACUGCCAUUGAUACUAUCAAUCUUGAAUACCGUGGAGGUCAGCGGAAUAUGUCAUGUAGCGGUGAAAUGCUUAGAUAUGACAUAGAACACCAAUUGCGAAGGCAGCUGGCUACGCGGAUAUUGACACUGAUGCACGAAAGCGUGGGGAUCAAACAGG
rnacentral:rRNA from 1 species